rnacentral:rRNA from 1 species
UCAAAUUAAAAUCUGGCUGGUUUACUAGUCCGAAUUGUAGUUUAUAGAAGCGUUUCGGUGGCAGCUGGGUAUAAAUCUUUGGAAUAGGUAUCAUAGAGGGUGAGAAUCCCGUCUUGACUCAGUGCAUGCUACUAUGUGAUACGUUUUCAAAGAGUCGAGUUGUUUGGGAAUGCAGCUCAAAAUGGGUGGUAAAUUUCAUCUAAAGCUAAAUAUUGGCGAGAGACCGAUAGCGAACAAGUACCGUGAGGGAAAGAUGAAAAGAACUUUGAAAAGAGAGUUAAACAGUGCGUGAAAUUGUUGAAAGGGAAACGUUUGACACCAGUUAUGCGGGUGGAAAAUCAGUCUUUUGCAAUGGGGAGUUGUGGGCGUUCAGACCGCAAGGCUGGCGUUUGCUUCAUCUUUGUUGUAAGUGAUGCACUUUUUCAUUUGCAGGUCAACAUCAGUUUGCUUUGCUGGACAAAACCCCAAGGGAAGGUGGCAGCUUAGGCUGUGUUAUAGCCCUGGGGCGAUACAGUGGAGUGGACUGAGGUUUCGCAGUGUGUGCUCUCGGGCAAGGCUGACUGGGUGCUAUGGGAUCGUUCGGCGUACAAUGCAUGCAUUUUGCGUCGUGUCUUUUUCAUACUCGCUCAACUCGGCUCUUCCACACUUAGGAUGUUGACUUAAUGGUUUUAAACGACCCGUCUUGAAACACGGACCAAGGAGUCUAACAUAUAUGCAAGUGUUUGGGUGGCAAACCCAUGCGCGUAAUGAAAGUGAACGUAGGUGCGAUCCGCAAGGUGCAGCAUCGACCGAUCUUGAUAUUUUUGGAUAGAUUUGAGUAAGAGCAUAUAUGCUGGGACCCGAAA